GGUUGAUCCUGCCAGUAGUCAUAUGCUUGUCUCAAAGACUAAGCCAUGCAUGUCCAAGUAUAAACAACUUUGUACUGUGAAACUGCAGAUGGCUCAUUAAACCAGUUAUCAUUCAUUUGAAAAUCACUUUUACUACAUGGAUACCCGUAGUAAUUCUAGAGCUAAUACAUGCGUAAAGUCCCAACUCUUGCGGGGAGGGAUGUAUUUAUUAGAUAAAAAGCCAAUAAAAGGUUUCGGCCUUUUUCUCUUGGUGAUUCAUAAUAACUAGUCGAAUCGAAUGGCCUUGUGCCGUCGAUGGUUCAUUCAAAUUUCUGCCCUAUCAGCUUUCGAUGGUAGUGUAGUGGACUACCAUGGCACUAACGGGUGACGGAGAAUUAGGGUUCGAUUCCGGAGAGGGAGCCUGAGAAACGGCUACCACAUCUAAGGAGGGCAGCAGGCGUAAAUUACCCAAUCCUGACACAGGGAGGUAGUGACAAGAAAUAACGAGAGCUCAGAAUUUUUUCUAAGCUCAUCGGAAUGACAGAAAUUUAAAUCCCUCAUGGAUUAUCAAGUGGAGGGCAAGUCUGGUGCCAGCAGCCGCGGUAAUUCCAGCUCCACUAGCGUAUACUAAAGUUGUUGCAGUUAAAAAGCUCGUAGUUGGAUUUCUGACAUUUUUUAUGUUCCCGGUCGUCUAUUUACGUUCUUCUCUUUUAAGAGUCGAAAAAGCUAAAAGAUUGGUACUGGCGAACGUGUGUCAUCCUUCCGCUGUCUGUCGUGAUUUCUUUUAUUAGAUUUUUUCGGCAAGGCGCGGAUCGUUUACUUUGAAAAAAUUAGAGUGUUUAAAGCAGUUUCGUAUGAAACAUUGAAUCUCGCAGCAUGGAAUAAUAAGAUAGGACUUUGGUUCUAUUUUGUUGGCUUUCAGGACCAAAGUAAUGAUUGAUAGGGAUCGUUUGGGAGUGCUUCUACUCUAGCGCCAGCGGUGAAAUGCUUGGAUUGCUGGAAGAGAAACUCAUGCGAAAGCAUUCACUAAGGAGAUUUUCUUUAAUCAAGAACGAAAGUUGAAGGAGCGAAGAGGAUCAGAUACCCUCGUAGUUUCAACCAUAAACUAUGCCGACUAGGGAUCAGUGGACGUCGUUAGAUCAAGAGCGAUCUUGAUCAUUUUUUUGACUCCAUUGGCACCUUGUGAGAAAUCAAAGUCUUUGGGUUCUGGGGGGAGUAUGGUCGCAAGGCUGAAACUUAAAGGAAUUGACGGAAGGGCACCACCAGGCGUGGAGUUUGCGGCUUAAUUUGACCCAACACGGGAAAACUUACCAGGUCCAGACAUAGUAAGGAUUGACAGAUUGAAGAUCUUUCUUGAUUCUAUGGUUGGUGGUGCAUGGCCGUUCUUA
rnacentral:rRNA from 1 species